rnacentral:rRNA from 1 species
AACGAACGUUAGCGGCGCGCCUAAGACAUGCAAGUCGAGCGAGAAAGGGCUUCGGCCCCGGUAAAGCGGCGCACGGGUGAGUAACACGUAGGUAAUCAACCCUCGAGUGGUGGACAACUCUCCGAAAGGAGAGCUAAUACAGCAUGAUGGCGCGACUUUCCGAAGUCGUGCCCAAAGCGGGCCUCUCCAUGGAAGCUCGCGCUUGAGGAUGAGCCUGCGGCCCAUCAGCUAGUUGGUCGGGGUAAUGGCCCACCAAGGCUACGACGGGUAGCUGGUCUGAGAGGAUGAACAGCCACACUGGAACUGAGACACGGUCCAGACUCCUACGGGUGGCAG